CCUUUUCCCCACAACCCCGGCGUUCCCAGAAGUGCCCACGGAGGCCUCCCAGCGGAAAGAGCCGCCGGCAGUGCGGUGCGCUGGGCUGGGGCAGGACGGGGCGGGGCGCGCCUACUGCCGGGUUUCGGGUUCUGCCUGGGCAGUGAUCGUGUGGGCAGCGAUGUGGCUGCUGGCUUCACUCCUGUGCCUUACGCCCCUCCAGGCACACAUUGACUGUAUGUAUGUAGUUGGUAUCACGGGAGAAAAUUUUACUUUUCCAGUACAAAUAGACCAAAAAAUAGUGGAAACUGUCUGGAAGAAAAACAAGGAUAUAGUGGCUGAAUGGGAAGAGCAAAACAAACCAACAUAUUUUGAUCCUCUCCGUAAUAGGAGUGUACUUAUGGAGAAUGGAUCCUUGACUAUAUUUAACUUGGAGAAGGAUGAUGCUGGCACGUAUAUGUUACAAUACUGGGAUUCUGUGAAAGAUCACUACUUAGACUUCGAACUUGAUGUGUUAGAUUCCCUUCCAGAACCUAAUAUAACUUGCAGCAUCAGUGGUGAUGAACUUCUAUUAAACUGUACAGCACGUUUCCAGGGGUCUCUGACAUAUGCUUGGAAGCUCAGUAACAAGCCACACAGUUACCAGAAUCAAGAGCUUUUUAUCCCUCAGAAGCAUGUUGGUACUACCACCAAAGCUACAUGUAUCAUUAAAUUUUCACAAACGGAAAGGAGUUCUGGAAUCUCUUUGAUUCAAUGCCUUCCAGAAGAAAAAGGAGACAGAAACAGAGGUGCUCUUUCUGGAGCUUUUGUCCUUACUGCAAUUAUCCUAGUAGGAAUCCUAGUAUUCCUGUGCAGGAAAGGUACAACUAAACUUGGAACAGGAAGAAGGACUGCUCAUAUCAACAAUCCAGUGAAUGGCUCAGGAGAACAUGAUCAACUUUUUUCUGGGAACAACCAACAACAGCCUAACUCAGGAGGAGGGACUGAGCUUUUGAAUUGGUUUUCAAAGCGUGCACAUACAGACUCUCAAUCUCAGUAGAGGUCCAAUAGUGGAUGAUUAUAGGGACCUGCACUUAAUGUGUUAGUGGGGCUGGCAAAGUUACUGACAGUGAAAGGCCUGAGAUUUUCCUGAUCAACAGCUGUCUUUGGAGCUGCAUUUUCACAUGCUGUUCAUGAUACGAAUGAAGAGCCCAAAAAAGACACAGCAUUGAGUGAAGAUGACAAUGCCCUGAAAGACAAGCAG